rnacentral:rRNA from 1 species
UACGGAGGGUGCAAGCGGUAAUCGGAAUUACUGGGCGUAAAGCGCGCGUAGGCGGUUUGAUAAGUCGGGUGUGAAAGCCCUGGGCUCAACCUGGGAAUUGCAUUCGAUACUGUCUGACUAGAGUAUGGUAGAGGGAGGCGGAAUUCCAGGUGUAGCGGUGAAAUGCGUAGAUAUCUGGAGGAACAUCAGUGGCGAAGGCGGCUUCCUGGACCAAUACUGACGCUGAGGUGCGAAAGCGUGGGGAGCAAACAGG